UAGUCGAUUUUGGUCAUCUCUUUUUGGAUUUUCCAUUGGUCUUACUAAAUUCUUGUUGGGGCCAAAAGAAUGAUGAGGUACUUCACAUCCCUUUCUCUUUUUUAGAGAUGUUAUCAACUCCUACUCAUUCGUAAGCAAGAUAUGACCACAAGUUAUCAACAUAAAGUUUGGUUGACAAGAGGGAGAGACUUAAAGUUAUAGGUUAGUUGUUAGUCGUAUUGAAUUUAUGACAAAGCCCCUCUGACGAAGUAGCCUACAAUGAAUGAGUCUGUUAAAUAGGGCAAUAGAAUGAUAUUUCUAUAUGAUAAAAAGUGCUGCAAACAUUGCAGUUGUGAGCAAGGUUCACCGUACUGGUACCGGACCCCGUACCGGUGCCGCACUAGCAUAGUGUCGGUACAGUAUGGUGUGAAAUUCUUUUGGCGUACCGAGGGUCGAUAUGCCAUUUGUACCGGUACCAAAUCGGUACGGUACGGUACGAUACGCUUGGUAUUGUUCAGUAUGGUACGACAUACCAUGGUUGUAAGUCUUCCUUUACAUACAUACUUACAUAUAAGGCUUAUUUGGAUUUUAGUCGAUUUUUAGGAAGCAGAGCCUACCACUCUAGUAAUUC
rnacentral:lncRNA from 1 species